AUUGAACGCUGGCGGCAUGCCUUACACAUGCAAGUCGAACGGCAGCACGGGUGCUUGCACCUGGUGACGAGUGGCGAACGGGUGAGUAAUACAUCGGAACGUACCUUAUCGUGGGGGAUAACGCAGCGAAAGCUGUGCUAAUACCGCAUACGCCCUGAGGGGGAAAGCGGGGGAUCGCAAGACCUCGCGCGAUUAGAGCGGCCGAUGCCUGAUUAGCUUGUUGGUGGGGUAAAAGCCCACCAAGGCGACGAUCAGUAGCUGGUCUGAGAGGACGAUCAGCCACACUGGGACUGAGACACGGCCCAGACUCCUACGGGAGGCAGCAGUGGGGAAUUUUGGACAAUGGGGGCAACCCUGAUCCAGCAAUGCCGCGUGAGUGAAGAAGGCCUUCGGGUUGUAAAGCUCUUUUGUCAGGGAAGAAACACCGGCUCUAACACAGUCCGGGAAUGACGGUACCUGAAGGAUAAGCACCGGCUAACUACGUGCCAGCCGCCGCGGUAA
rnacentral:rRNA from 1 species